rnacentral:lncRNA from 1 species
AAUGAUGGAACUGGUCAUUUGAUCACAUUCAGCUUGAUCAUCUACAUCUGCUAGUGACCCAGUCCCUGAGAGUCACCAAGAAUUGAUUCCACUGAGGCGAUGGCAGGCGGGGCUUUGGUGUUGGAAAAGUCAGUGGUUGAUAUGGACAGCACAGACUCACAUAAGCUGCUGGUUUAUUACACUAGAAAAAUAAGGCUCUUUUAAUGCAAGAGAAAGAAAACCAGCUACAACCACCUAAAAUCAAAUGGGGAGUUUCAUGGUGCACAUCCACAAAGUGGACAUGUCAGGACAGGGGAACAUCUGGAUCACAAGAAUGCCGGUUCCCAAAGACAAUAAGGAUGGUUUCCAGCCUCUACUAUUUCUGCACUGCGAAGCCAUCAUCUCCAUUUCAGACUUUCCCACUAAGCAGGAAAUACAAUUGCCAACAGCAGCUAGCUUCGUACCUCAAAGCAACACCAGAAAGAAGAAGCAUUUCCAUCGAGGGAAGGAGUGAGUGUAAGGAGUAUUUCCCCCAAAAGAAAGAGAAGAACAAAGAAGCAUAAAGAUUGAUUACUGCUUUGCAAAGCCACAGAAACAAUGAGAUCAAGAAGUAAGAAAAUCAGGAAAUCUUCAUUACUCUUUACAAAGAAUUAAUAAGAUUACCAGUGGAGUCGUUCUAUGCUUUUAUGUAAGGGGUUAUGUUCCAAGGAAUUCAAAACAAAAAAGGAAAGGAAAAUACCCAACAAAUAAGAGUUGUGGCAACUUGAGAACUCACAUGACUCUGAGGUUUUAUUUCUAAGUAGUACUUUUGUGUGAAGAUAUUAUGAUAUUAAUAUCACUCAGUUACCAAAAAUAAAAACUUUAAG